rnacentral:rRNA from 1 species
UACAGGGGGGGCAAGCGUUGUUCGGAAUUACUGGGCGUAAAGGGCUCGUAGGCGGCCAACUAAGUCAGACGUGAAAUCCCUCGGCUUAACCGGGGAACUGCGUCUGAUACUGGAUGGCUUGAGAUUGGGAGAGGGAUGCGGAAUUCCAGGUGUAGCGGUGAAAUGCGUAGAUAUCGGGAGGAACACCAGUGGCGAAGGCGAUCUUCUGGACGGAUACUGACGCUGAGGCGCGAAAGCUAGGGGAGCAAACGGG